rnacentral:rRNA from 1 species
GACAGAGGGUGCAAACGUUGUUCGGAAUUACUGGGCGUAAAGCGCGUGUAGGCGGCUAAGUAAGUCGGGCGUGAAAUCCCACGGCUCAACCGUGGAAGUGCACUCGAAACUGCGUAGCUAGAGUCCUGGAGAGGAAGGUGGAAUGCUUGGUGUAGAGGUGAAAUUCGUAGAUAUCAAGCGGAACACCGGUGGCGAAGGCGGCCUUCUGGACAGUGACUGACGCUGAGACGGCGAAAGCGUGGGGAG